GCUGGGCGUGGUGGCACUUGCCUAUAGUCCCAGUUAUCUGGGAAGCUGAGAUGGGAGGAUUGCUUGAACCCAGGAGUUCGAGACCAUGCUGGGCAACAUGGCAAGACCCCCAACUAAA
rnacentral:sRNA from 1 species